rnacentral:misc_RNA from 1 species
GAUGAAGAACGUAGCAAAAUGCGAUAAGUAAUGUGAAUUGCAGAAUUCAGUGAAUCAUCGAAUCUUUGAACGCACAUUGCGCCCGCUGGUAUUCCGGCGGGCAUGCCUGUUCGAGCUUCAUUUCAACCCUCAAGCCCCCGGGUUUGGUGUUGGGGAUCGGCUCUGCCCUUCUGGGCGGUGCCGCCCCCGAAAUACAUUGGCGGUCUCGCUGCAGCCUCCAUUGCGUAGUAGCUAACACCUCGCAACUGGAACGCGGCGCGGCCAUGCCGUAAAACCCCAACUUCUGAAUGUUGACCUCGGAUCAGGUAGGAAUACCCGCUGAACUUAAGCAUAUCAAUAAGCGGAGGA